rnacentral:rRNA from 1 species
GAUUAACGCUAGCGGCAGGCAUAAUACAUGCAAGUUGAACGAGAUAAGUUUUAGCAAUAGAACUUUGAAAGUGGCGCACGGGUGCGUAACACGUAUGCAACCUACCUUUUACUGGGGAAUAGCCUCUCGAAAGAGAGAUUAAUACCCCAUAAUAUAUUGAUAAGGCAUCUUAUUAAUAUUAAAGUUACGGCGGUAAAAGAUGGGCAUGCGGAUGAUUAGGUAGUUGGUGAGGUAAUGGCUCACCAAGCGGACGAUCAGUAGGGGGUCUGAGAGGAUGUCCCCCCACACUGGUACUGAGACACGGACCAGACUCCUACGGGAGGCAGCAGUAGGAAAUAUUGGACAAUGGGCGCAAGCCUGAUCCAGCCAUGCCGCGUGCAGGAUGAAGGCCCUAUGGGUCGUAAACUGCUUUUGUACGGGAAGAAACCUCACUACGUGUAGAGAGUUGACGGUACCGUGAGAAUAAGGAUCGGCUAACUUCGUGCCAGCAGCCGCGGUAA